GCUGGGCGUGGUGGUGCGCGCCUGUAGUCUCAGCUGCUCGGGAGGCUGAGACAGGAGAAUCGCUUGAACCCAGGAGGCAGAGGUUGCAGUGAGCUGAGAUUAUGCCACUGCACUCCAGCCUGGGUGACAGAGCAAGACUCUGUCUCAA
rnacentral:SRP_RNA from 2 species